UACGUAGGGUGCAAGCGUUAAUCGGAAUUACUGGGCGUCAAGCGUGCGCAGGCGGUUAUGUAAGACAGGUGUGAAAUCCCCGGGCUUAACCUGGGAACUGCAUUUGUGACUGCAUAGCUAGAGUACGGUAAAGGGGGAUGGAAUUCCGCGUGUAGCAGUGAAAUGCGUAGAUAUGCGGAGGAACACCGAUGGCGAAGGCAAUCCCCUGGGCCUGCACUGACGCUCAUGCACGAAAGCGUGGGGAGCAAACAGG
rnacentral:rRNA from 1 species